GACGAACGCUGGCGGCGUGCUUAACACAUGCAAGUCGAACGGAAAGGCCCUGCUUUUGUGGGGUGCUCGAGUGGCGAACGGGUGAGUAACACGUGAGUAACCUGCCCUUGACUUUGGGAUAACUUCAGGAAACUGGGGCUAAUACCGGAUAGGACCUCCUGCUGCAUGGUGGGGGUUGGAAAGUUUCGGCGGUUGGGGAUGGACUCGCGGCUUAUCAGCUUGUUGGUGGGGUAGUGGCUUACCAAGGCUUUGACGGGUAGCCGGCCUGAGAGGGUGACCGGCCACAUUGGGACUGAGAUACGGCCCAGACUCCUACGGGAGGCAGCAGUGGGGAAUAUUGCACAAUGGGCGGAAGCCUGAUGCAGCAACGCCGCGUGCGGGAUGACGGCCUUCGGGUUGUAAACCGCUUUCGCCUGUGACGAAGCGUGAGUGACGGUAAUGGGUAAAGAGGCACCGGCUAACUACGUG
rnacentral:rRNA from 1 species